GGAAAGUUUAAUCUAAGUAACUGUUGUCUGCACAUAGAUGAUGAAGGGCAGGCAGUGGCUGAACUUACAAGCCACAUGGUUAAAUUUGAGCAUGUACCUACUCAGGUCUGGAAUGGGUAUAACCUAAGUAUUUGGUUUGGAAGUUGGUAUGAGCAGCUUGGAGGAAUUAAGACAUUAGUAGGAGGAGUAGAAUUUAUUAUAUUUUUUUGUGCCUCCUCCUGCCCUGUCUAAUUCCACUAGUGGUAAGGUCCCUACGUAGCAUUAUAGAGAGUACUAGAGAGAAAGACAGCGGCUCAUGUAAUGGCUGUCUGGAAGAUAUGAUCCCCUAGCCCGAAGAGAAUAUAUUCAGGAUGAAGAAUGUUGACGGAGUUUUUAAGAUGCUUACAAGGUCUACUCUGGUUCAAUGGCUACUUGAGAGAUGUAGGUAAAACUGUGAUUGGUGAUGCAUCUGGAAUAAUGUUAUAUCAGAGGCAUCAAAGGG